rnacentral:misc_RNA from 1 species
UACGUAGGGGCCGAACGUUAUCCGGAAUCAUUGGGUUUAAAGGGUCCGUAGGCGGGAUAAUAAGUCAGCGGUGAAAGUCUGUGGCUCAACCAUAGAAUUGCCGUUGAUACUGUUGUUCUUGAGUGCUUAUGAAGUGGUUAGAAUAUGUAGUGUAGCGGUGAAAUGCAUAGAUAUUACUCAGAAUACCGAUUGCGAAGGCAGAUCACUAAUAAUAUACUGACGCUGAUGGACGAAAGCGCAGGUAGCGAACAGG